rnacentral:tRNA from 1 species
AUUUAAGUAUCAUAUUAAAAAUGUAUUCAAUUUCGACUUGAAUUAAGAUAUAUAUAUUAUAUCCCUAAAUU